CCAUGACUCUUUGCAGCAAACCAAUUACAAAUCCCUUCCAGCCCAGUUGGGGUGAUGCUUAUCAAAGUGUUACUCAUAUAGAUCUUGCCUGUAUUAGACAAGGUGUCUGCCCCUAGAAUGAGACAGCUGGAACCAUGGAACUGCUGGUUAACUCUGUUCAGUCUGUAUAUGAAAUUGAUUUUAAGCCUUGCAGGAUUAAUAUAAGCUUUUUCAGCUAGGGAUUAUAGACCUAUGAGGACAUGCAGGUCCUGUUUUGCUAGUUAUAAAUUGUAUUGUAGAUUAAAUUAUAAGGGAUUCUGGUAUUUUAUGAGUGUCAUUCACCCCUGCACAGGUAGGCCAGAUUUAUCUGGUAUGCAUCUGUGAUGAAAACCCUGAGAAAGAAGAGUGGGUUUGUUACAAUGACAGCAAUAGAGAAGUGAUGGCUUUAGGUCAAACCUGUUAGGUUUCACCCCUGCAGGGAGGGUAAGGAGAGAAACAUCUUUAUCCUUCCUGCAAACCACACAAAUAAAAAAGCAAAGCCUAUAAAGCAGAAGUGGCUGAAGGGAGAAUCCAGGUUUAAGGAGGAGAUGGCUCUAAAAGAAGCACUGUCUCCUGCAAAUAUUUGCUGUGAUGAAGCAUGGGAAGGCAUAAAAGCAGUCUGAAAAUUUGAGUAUUUGCAUCUGCAGAAAGAGAGAAGAGGAAUGAGAGCAGACUUUGCUCUUUUUUCUCUGUCUCUGUUGCCAGAGGGCCAAGACAGGUAAUGGUUGCAGAUGAAGCUGCUACCUUGCCCUGUCCCCAGGGCAUGUGGGCAGCCUAGCGGCCUUCCUGCAUUGCUUUCGUUUUGGUGCAGCUCUGCACCUUGCUCCAAAUUCUUUUAGAGAUCUGUGGACUGUUCUUGCCUGCCCUUGCCUUUCCACGUGUAAAUUCUGCAGCAGAAAUGGAUCAGUUUUGCUUGACGUGACUUUGCUGUCUGCUGCCUUUAAAUCAGCUUCAGCUGCUAUGAGGCUCAAGUGGUGGCAGCUGGGAGACUGCUUAGCUUCAAGCAUGGCUGGAGUUGCUCUGUGACCUGAAGAAAAAGAUGGUGACAGUAGGGGACAGAAGGUGUCUGGAGGAGCUGGCUCAGGCUUUCAUGGCACUGUGAAGAGAGGUGUGACCUGCAGCAAGCUCUUCCUGUUGUCAGAGACCUGGUGCCACAUCCACCCUGGAUGGGUUUUCCUGGCCUAUCUUCCCACCUGCCAGGACGGCUGUAUGAGAGAGGUGAAUUCUGCGCUGUGCGUGGAAGGAUAGCUGUUAUCCUGAUGGGAACGCAUGUCCUAGGGCUGGUGGACAGCCAGCAGCAGCAGGUGUCCUAUCCUAGUGUCUCCCACCCUCACCCUGUUCCCCUAAAGAGAAUGUCCUCUCCUAUUUUGUGCUGACAGUGAAAUGUUAAGAGUUGUAACUGGAACAGGUAUGUGGGGGAUUUUAAACCCCUGCCCCCUGCAGUGGCUAAGGACACCACAAGGCCUUUGCUACCUUCUCUUUCUUUGCUCUCUCACUAUCAUGCUGAGAUCUUCAGUGUUUAUGAUGGAGAUGCUGUACUGCAGCUGCACUGAGUGUUCCUUGGGCAGGGACCUCACCCACUGCAUCAGGGUGGUUCCAUCCAGCCUGGCCUUGGACGGGGCCUCCCAGGAAUGGGGCAUCCAUGCCUGCUCUGGGCAGCCUGUCCCAGUGUCUCAGCAGCCUCUCAGUAAAGAACUUCUUCCUACUACCUAAUUUAAAUUUCUCUUCAGUUUAAAACUGUUGUCCAUUUCCUAUCAUUAUGUGCCCAUGCUUUUGUUACAUGACCUGACCCUUUGUCAAUGUGUCCUUCUAACUCUGUGUAGCCACAUUUGUGUCCCUGCCAAUGAGCUCCAUGUGCCAGCACAGAGGCUGGAGCCUCCAUGUUCCCCAGCAUAGCUGCUUUCUGGGGCUGAGGAUGUUGGAUUUUACUUUAUCUUCUCUAAUUAAGUUGCUUUAUUUUGAUGUUGUGUUUGGGUGUGGUUAACAUGCUCACUCAUCUGGAGCCACGCAGUGUAUGUAACUUCAGAGUGUAUCUUCAGGCUCACAUCAUGCUGGGUUUUGAUUAUUUUUUUUGGCAGGAAAGCAGCUAAAGUUUUCCCUUUCUCAUUAUUGAGCAAUUGGGCCAAUGACCUCCUCCUGAAAUCACAACUGUGACCCAUUUUCUGUGCUAAAGCAGGAAAGGUGUAAUAGUUCACAGCAUAGCACAGAGCUGUGCCUAGCAGGCAACACUUCCCAUUUUCAGUUUCUUCUGCUGGCCAAGUCAUGCUGGGAGCUGUAACUUAAGGCAAAAAAACCUCCACAGGGUGUGCAAGGCCUGUCUGUGUUGUCAAGCAUCUUUCCAUCUCCUCUUAGACAGCACUGCAUUGGAGCAGGCUGUUUUCCUCUUCUAGCAUUAGGGGGAGCAUGGCUGUUAAGAGAGAGGCUAAAUGGUUGGAAAAAAAAAAAAAUAACUCACAAACUGAAAAAAACAAGUUCUGAACCUUAAGAGUCCAAUUUAAAUCUUGUCCCUACACAAUGGCCUGUUUAUAAUCCCUGUGACACCAGUAAAAAGCUGCUGCAGGCACUGAAGAUUGAAGGAAGUGCCUUGCUCUCAGAUAUCAGGCAAAGAGGAGGAGUAGAUAUGGACAGCAUUUUGAUAAUUUUGCAGUCUGCUAGGAAGAAGCAAAUGAAACUGACAGGGAUUAACAAUUGUUGAAACCUUGUUUGGCAUUCCAGAGGCCUUGUUAACAACAGUGUUAAAACAGCUAUUCAGGAAUGCUAUUAUACUACCAGGGCAGUCUCUGAGAAGUUUCAUUUUCUAAAUUAUAAUUCCUUGGUUUAACUUCCAGGUAUGUCAUUGCUGAUUGUGCAUAGGACCUUGGAUACAUGGGAAAUAUUCUUCUCUUGUCCUAAGACCUUGGCUCUGCAAAUUAGUUUAGUUUUGCACUUUGGUAGAAACAUUGCCAAUAAGCUGUGUGAUAAAACCUCUCCAUCCAAAGCCAAAAUCCCCAAACUCUUACUGAUUUUCUCAGAUCUGGGGUUUCACAUGUGGGCUCAAAGUUCAGAGACUUACGUAAUUCCUUCUACCAGCUUCUACCUCUGCUGGCUUGUGCUUGCUUCCUCCACUCAUGGAAAGUACCUUAUUGAUCAGUUCCCUUUAAACCCCUAAGGAUACUUCCUGCCUACUCAGUGAGCAAGGCUGGCAGAAUCAGUGCCUGUGUGCACAAAAGGUACCAGAUGAUGACAUUUAGGCCAAAUGUUCUAUCAAGGUAAUUUUACUUCAUAUGCUUUUCCACAAUUUAGCAUCCCCUUUAAUCAUUCCAUCUCAAGCUAAUCUGUUCUGCACACAUUCCAUUUGCUUCUUUAGGAGCAUAUCGAUGUUACUCUCACCAGGAGAAUCAAGGACAAAGUAUUUGAGAAGAUUCCUUCCAAGGGAAAAGUUUGGGGUGCCCAAAGCAGGCAUGCCUGGGUGCCAAACAAUGGUACUGGUAGCUGUAGGAGGACAAAGGGGAACUGGUACAUGUGGAUCCUUCCUUGGUAGUCCUACUCAAGAGGAGGUUUUUAUGAGACCUGUGGUGUUUGCAGUGCAGCUGGAAGUCAGAGGAGAAGAGAUAACCUUUGUUGCUUUAUGAAGGGCACAAAGGCAAUUCAUGUGCCCCAGAGUGACAGUGCCAUAAAGUUACAACAGGAAUCACCAAUGGGAAAGGAUAUUCUUCUUUACCCCAUGUUUUUUCUUUUUUGAAUUUAGUUCAAAAGGACAACAGAAGCAUGAGGCAAAAGUGUUAUUUGUGUAGCAGGGAAGAGACACAUAUGAGGACAUCUGUUUUAAGGAGCUGCUUCAAAAAUAACCACAGGAGAUCAGUGUGUUUGCAGAGCGCAGCAGGCGACCUGCAGAGCAGUGGAAAGUGAGACAGCAGUGGUGCCCCAAGUGCAGACAGCCCCAAAUGUCUCCAGGAUUGUGUACAUUUGUACUCAUUGCCAAACCACCCCACCCUGACCCCAAUGGGUGUUUUACAAAUUGAAGGAGGUGCUGUUUUCAUGUUUUCUGCCCAAAAACAUUGACCCCUUUUCUGUUGCUCUCCUUCUUGACCCUUUUUUCUUAAGUCAGCAGCUUUUAAAUUCCACUUCCAAGUCUUUAAAAAAUAACCCUGUUUCAAUGAAUCUCCAAAACAUAUGGCAAAGGAAUGCAGAUUUGGGUACUACUCCGUCCCAGAGAUGAGGUCUUGUUCACCAGAAAAAGAAAGGAAAAGCAGACUGUCAUAUUUUGGUGCAGGAUGUUGACAUCCAGCAUUCUGCCCUAGCCUAUUUACUGCUGACUACAGGAACAGGCAGCAAACUUGGCCACUGAUUUAUUGUGAUGCUUUAAGAAAGUUCAUUACACCUUACCUGUUGCUUCAGCUUCCCAGUGGGUAAAACAGAGAAGUGAGAAGUACAAUUUUUAUCCUCAUUUUCUUUUCUGACAUCUGUGGUUUCAGACAGAUCUGAAAAUGUGGUGUAGGAUUCAAUGCAAAUAUCAGGUGUGAUCCAUUAGUUAAAUGGAAGUGGUAAAGCCAGAUGGUGUGAGGCAUCCCACUGGGGAACACAAUGUUUCAGGCACCAGGGAGUUAAUUUAUCCUGUUAGCCAGGUAAGAGAGUGUGCUUGGGAAAGGCCAAAUGAAAACUGAGCAUAAUUGCUUAUUGGGAGAUUCACCCUUCCCAUGGCCAAAUACUCCUUAGAACAGAACUUUGUCAAAACAAGCAUGAUGAAUUUGCAUCUCUAUUUUCUAGUGUUACAUUGGAAAAUCAAUAGCAAAUACCAUUUCAAAGUAGUAACCAGAUGUUUCCUCCCUGCUUUUUUUUAGCUAUCCACUGUGAGGAACAGAAACGUUUCACAAAGAGAAGUGAGGGUUUGAGAUAAAGUGGCUGAUACCACUCUGGGAGGACACAGCUGUAUCUCUUUUCUACAUUAGUGGCUGUCAGCAAGUAACACCAAGUUGAUUUUGGAUACCUCAAAGGAAGCAUUAUCCUCUGUGCUCCCUCCACUGUGUUUUCUGAUAAAGAACAAAUAUUUCUGCUAAAAUCAGUUCAUGCUGCAAUAACUAUUUGGAACAAAGCUUUUGUUUCAGUUAUAAAAAUUCUCACAGCAGAAAGUAAACUAUCUGGAGUUUCAUGGAAAUAUUCACCUGGCAGUGCCUGGUAUAACCAUGACUGCACUUUGGCCAGUGUUUGGAAGCUGAGUACAACCUGCAAUGCAGCUUCAUGUGUCUGUAAACCAAGACAGGAUUGUGCUUUGGACAAAAUUUGAUAUUUCAGAAGUGUUGAGUAGCAGUCAAAUUAGCUAGUCAAAUGAGUUCACCAAUGGUCAUUUCAUAUCCAGAUUGCUUACACCAUCCCACUGUGCAUCUUUUCAGUGCCUAAGCAAUUUGCAAACUAGGCCCUGUAGGACUUGCAUCUGACUGCUUUCAAGGAGUCUUGGUCUUCUAAGGACUGAGGUCACUUUUGCAAUGGGAGCUCUGGCAUAUUGGGCUGAAUUCUGAGAGGUAUUCAAGCAUACAAAUUGUUUGGUUUUUAAACUUCCUUUGAAGUAUUGAAUGGUUUACUGUUUUGAUGUCUAUUCUGGCUUUGCCAAGGUUUUUUCUAUUGCUUUGUAACAACAUAGAAAAUAUAAAACAGUUCACUCUCAAUAAAUUUAUGGGUGUUUCAUUCCAGCUUGGACUCAGCAUAUGGCUUUCUUUAGUUGUUUGAUUGCAUCAUCCUUGUUUCAAAUGUGACAAUUUGGCUUAAACCUUUCUUUUCCAUGUGUAAAGUGGGACACAAGUGCAUUGCACCAUUUGGUUGUGCAUACCCAUUGGACAUGCUGUUCUCUGCUAUGGGAUUAUGGAAAACUGCCCAAUUUUUUCUCUGACUGCUGCUGUACAGAUGCAGGCAGGGUACCAAGUAUAAAUAAGCUCGUUAGGACAAAGAUGUAUUCUGAAAGUGAGCAAGCACUGUAAGCAGGCACAUGUAAACAGAUGUUCUUUAUAGUGCAGAAUUCUGAGUGCAGGCUCUUCCUUGUCCACUCAGCCAAAGCUGCCCUUGUGGUUCAUAUGGUGAUGUGGUUGAUGCUUUCUCCCAGUUUUGCUGCAGGUCCUUUGCACUUUGGCUUGCUCCUUAAAUGUCUCACUAUGAGUCCUGAACCAAUCAAAAUCUGGGCAUUGUCCCUUUCUCCCUGUCCAGAGCACACCAAAACCCUGAGAUGCAGCAUCCCUCCAGAAGGCAGACACCAGCAGGCUGCACAGAGGGGUAAUUUACCACUAGAUGGCUGGACCUCCUUUUUGUCCAGCUCUCAGUUUUGUUCCCAGCUCAGUGACCAUGCUUAGCCUAGAACAGUGGACUUGUUGUAAGCUCUCUGCCUGCCCACUUUUUAUAGCUUGAUAUUUUUAAACGGCUGAUGCUUUUAGCAGAUCUACCUUCAUGAUGAAUAGUUCAAACUUCUGAAACGUACUAAAAGAGCUAUGGUAAUAUCUAAGAAAAUCAUAGCUUUUUUGCAAGACAAAAAGGAAAAGCUGCCUUGUCCUGUUCUUGGGGUUUUUUCCCAUUUCAUGUGUAAUACAAUUUUUACUGAGUCUUAUUUCAUAGGUGUAUGCAUAGGUGGGACACAUUUAACAGUUCAUCACUCAGACUGAAAUACAGCAUCAUAGUGUCCUUAAUAGUCACAGCCAUGUGCUUUGAUCUGGUGAAUUUGGUGAUAUAAAAUCUGUAAAACUUUUAGACACCGACAUACAUGUCACUGUGAUUUGGGGCAGCAAUGUCUUUCCUUUAAGAAACAUUAUUUUGUGCACAGUCAGUAGCUUCAAUAAAUUAAUACCUCUGGGUGAAAAAUGUUAGCUUUCCUGAUGAUUACAGACCGAUACAUUAUACAGAGCAAGAAGGCCCACUUCAAAAGGAAGAUUUUUCCUGCCUGAAAGCAGACAAGAGGGAUAGGCAAAGAAUCCGUUUCUUGAAGAUACCACUUAUCAAUCUCUUCACAUUUUCACCUCUGUUACUUGUAUUUACUAGGUUCACAUCAUGUGUCUAUAGAUGUACUUGUAUUCUGAGUUCAAAACAAGAGAGAGGUAUGUUUUUAAAUUAAAAUUAUUUUAGCUGAUUUGUUGUCACAGCACUGGCAUUUUAUGGUUGCUGCUUGCAGGAACAAGGAAGAGUCAUUGUCCCUGCUUCCAAGGUAAAAUAAUCUAAAGUAUCAAACCUGGAAAUCUUGUGGAAGCCUGAAGAUGUGCCUAAAGAUAGUGAUACAUGAAAUAGCAAGAUGGAGAUGAAUCUAGAAAUAGUUCUGGGGUGUGUUUUCUAAGUAGCAGUCUCUCACAGUUUAAUUUUCUUAAAGCAAAAAAAAAAAAAAACCACCAAAAAAUCAAACCAAAAAAACCCCCCAAACCCCAAAAAAGCUGAAAAAGCUGAUGGUUUAACUAGUGUGGUGGAAAAGCAGGAAAUUCAAAUGAACACCCAUCAAGACUCAGAGAUACACAGGUAGUGAAGCAUACAGCACAUGAUGAGGCCCUGAAUAAACCCAACAAGAAUAUUUGUGGUUAUUCUGUUCUUGUCUGCAGGAAGGUUUCUGGUUUUGUUAAUGCAAUAAGAGAGAGUAAGAAAGGCUUAAAAAUUUCCAUUUAGUGGCCUUGCAAACAAGUAAAUUGUAAUUUUUUUAAGUGCUUCCUUUUUACAGGUGGCUGAAGGGUAACAUGUGCAGAUUUUUCAUGAAGACCAACCUCACGUUUGGAAGUAGUCCAGAAACAAAGUCCUACUUGAUCCUGUCACAAGCAGAAUUCAGUAACAUUCUGUUACUGAGCACAGAAUGUCAGAUGUAGCAUAAUUGCAGGCAUUGUGUAUUCCUCCUAUGACAC